UUACGACCACGGAUGAUCCGCAUAAAAUAUCGAUAUAUAUCAUAUCUUGUUAGAUCGCAGAAGUAGCUAAAAAGAAAUUUGCAUCUAAAGCCUUGGAGGCCUAAACCACACUUCAGCAGCAGCAGGGCCAUCUCACUCCGCCCCCCGGUCAACAUUAGCACUGCUCUAAAGUGCGGCAGGUGCGUGGAGAGAUCAGCACCUUUACAGCUGCGGGAAGAGGACAGGGGGCAUGAUUUUUGUCGAGUAUAAAAACCCGUCACUGGCCAGGCUGAUUCAUAGGACCUGCAGGUACGGAAACGAGCGUGUGGACUGAGGCCUUCCACAGUGCAACCUGGAUGUGAAACGACAGAGGUGAGCAAGACAGGUAAUGGGCAGGGAAAACACCUGAAAAAUGAGAUGAACGAAAAAAUACCGAUUCACAUUUUUGACAGUAUUUUCUACAUUAACUUUGGAGUUUAUCACAUUGCACCCCCAGAAUUACGAUGGAUAAACUGCAUUUGCUUUACGUUGAGCCACACGCACAAUACAUGUGGAUUCAGUUUUGUUCGUUCGGCUCGCGUUAAGCAAGUGCAGAACUUCUCCAGUGCCAAACAUCUGGGACAUUUUGGGAUUAGAAGCAAGAGUAACUGCUGUGCUCUUUUGUUUGGAAUUGUUUGUUUUUUUAAUGGAAAAAAAAAAUGUAUCAAAAUGUGAUGUGAGAUUCUUUAACAACCGAAUGAGCCAUAACUGAUAAUUUGCCUUCUGCAAUGGUCAUGAUUUACAAUGUCGGCUGUUAUCCAACAUCAUGUUUGUUGUGAUAUAUACUGUGCCAUUUAUUAUUGUGGGUGAAGUUCUCAUGCUGCAGUGAUGUAAUGGCAAAAUAAAGUUCUUGUUAACUCCUCA